AGAGUUUGAUCCUGGCUCAGGACGAACGCUGGCGGCGUGGAUUAGGCAUGCAAGUCGAACGGUAGUAUCCUUUCGGGGAUAUGAGAGUGGCGAACGGGUGAGUAACACGUAGGUAAUCUACCCUCAAAUCGGGGACAACCCAGGGAAACUUGGGCUAAUACCGGAUGAGUGCAGCACCUUGAUUUUCCGGUGGGCGGUGAAUGGUUAAAUCUAUUUACCGGACAUUGGGAAAUGAAGGUGCUGUAUAAAAGAUGGCGUAAGCUGUCGUUUGAGGAUGAGCCUGCGCUCUAUUAGUUAGUUGGUGGGGUAAUGGCCUACCAAGGCGAUGAUAGAUAGGCGGCCUUAACGGGUGGCCGCCCACACUGGGAUUGAGAUACGGCCCAGACUCCUACGGGAGGCAGCAGUCGAGAAUAGUCUACAAUGGACGAAAGUCUGAUAGUGCGACGCCGCGUGAACGAAGAAUCCCUUCGGGGUGUAAAGUUCUUUUAUAUGUGAGCAAUGCUUUUUAUGUGAAUAGCAUGAGAAGAGAGAUAUUAGCAUAUGAAUAAGCAACGGCUAACUCCGUGCCAGCAGCCGCGGUAACACGGGGGUUGCAAGCGUUGUCCGGAAUUACUAGGCGUAAAGGGCAGGUAGGCGGAUCCAUAAGUUUGAUGUUAAAGGCAGCGGCUCACCCGCUGUAGGGCAUUAGAUACUGUGGAUCUGGAAUACGGUUGGGGAAGACAGAAUUCCUGGUGUAGCGGUGGAAUGCGCAGAGAUCAGGAGGAAUA
rnacentral:rRNA from 1 species